rnacentral:pre_miRNA from 1 species
CAAUCCAGGCAAGUGUUUCUAUAUGUACAGAUAAUGUAGAAAAUCUUGUGUGGAUUGGA